rnacentral:rRNA from 1 species
GGGCUAGCAUUAUACCGUGACUGCGAUGGCUCAUUAAUCAGUUAUCGUUUAUUUGAUAAUACCUUACUACUUGGAUAACCGUGGUAAUUCCAGAGCUAAUACCUGCUGAAAAUCCCCACUUCCGAAGGGAUGUGUUUAUUAAAUAAAAAACCAAUGCCCUUCGGGGCUCUUUGGUGAUUCAUGAUAACUUUACGGAUCGCAUAGCCUUGCGCUGGCGACGGUUCAUUCAAAUUUCUGCCCUAUCAACUUUCGAUGGUAAGGUAUUGGCUUACCAUGGUUUCAACGGGUAACGGGGAAUUAGGGUUCGAUUCCGGAGAGGGAGCCUGAGAAACGGCUACCACAUCCAAGGAAGGCAGCAGGCGCGCAAAUUACCCAAUCCCGACACCGGGAGGUAGUGACAAUAAAUACUGAUACAGGGCUCUUUUGGGUCUUGUAAUUGGAAUGAGUACAAUUUAAACCUCUUAACGAGGAACAAUUGGAGGGCAAGUCUGGUGCCAGCAGCCGCGGUAAUUCCAGCUCCAACAGCGUAUAUUAAAGUUGUUGCAGUUAAAAAGCUCGUAGUUGAAACUUGGGCCUGGCUGGCGGGUCCGCCUCACCGCGUGCACUCGUCCGGCCGGGCCUUCCUUCUGAAGAACCUCAUGCCCUUCACUGCGCGUGUUGGGGAAUCAGGACUUUUACUUUGAAAAAAUUAGAGUGUUCAAAGCAGGCCUUUGCUCGACUACGUUAGCAUGGAAUAAAUAAAAUAGGGCGUGCGUUUCUAUUUUUGUUUGGUUUUCUAUAGACGCCGCCACUGACUUAACAUGGAACAGUCAGGGGGCAUCAGUACUUCAGUUCGUCAGACGGUGAAAUUUCUUGGUACUUUACUGAAGACUAACUACUGCGAAAGCAUUUGGCCAAUGGAUGUUUUAUUUAUCAGUGAACGUAAGCUAGGGGAUCGGAGACGAUCAGAUACCGUCGCUAGUCCUAACCCGUUACACUAUGCCCGACUAGGCAUCGGGCGAAUGCUCUUUCUCUGUAUCUCGCUCCGGCCACCUCUACCCAGACA